UGGGCUCUGCUUUUAGCCGGCCGGGCCGAUUUUCUGCCUGCCUGGACCCCCCUCCCGCUGUCGUGGCGCCCCGGCCUCGAGUCCCCUACGUGGCUCCCCCAGAGCCCUGACACCCGGCGCACCGCGUACACGAUCUCGGCUUGCGAACGCGGACAAGUGGGUGUGUCGGGGCCAUUCCCGGAGGACCAGGGCCCCUUCGGUGGGUCAAGCCCUAGACUUGCUUACUGGGGCCUGGGCCGCUUGAGGCUAAAUCCGCCCCCGGAGCUACGUCAGGCUGUAAGUCUUAUACCAUCUUCCCGCCUCCCUCCCCCAGCCACUGUAGCAGCGACGGCAGCCCCCUACCCUCCCAAGGCGAGGGGGUGUGGCCGCGGCCCCGGCAAGUCCGGGGGAGGGGGAACAGCCCAACCGGAGCAAACAGAAAAAGUGACGAUUUUCUUACACGGGCGCCUUUCCCCCCUUUCUUUUAUUUUUCUAUAUUCCCCCUCCCCCUUUUUGGUGGGGUAGGGCAACCAGAGGAGGACUCUUUUCUUCUCCUGUGAGGACUAGAAUGAUGCAAUAAUGUCCCUAGAAAACCCGGGGUCCCUCAGUUGGCCUUUGUCUUUGGGGAGCAGGGUCAUCAGGUCCACUGCCCCCCUUCCCUGUCCCCGUCAGCUUGCAGGGGGCCUUGCCCUCAGUUUGUGAACUGGCUCUGGCAAGGUUCCUGCCACACUUUCGGAGGGACUGGACCUUUUCGAUUCUUGCUCUGGCAGGAUUCCUGCCACACUUUCGGAGGGAUUGGACCUUUUUGAUUUCUCGCUCUGGCAGGUUCUCCUUCCCUCGGUGGUUGUGGAGGGGUGGAGUGUGGGAGCGGUGGGAGGGCGGUGCCUGCAGGGAAGGAGCCAGAGGCUCCACUUGUUCUUUUGGUCCCACCUUCCAGAAUCCAGUGCCAGACUCUGGACUUGAGGGUUCUGGGCUGUGGUCUGUAGAAGCGAAGGAGAGAAGGACUCAAAUCCAGGCCAACUGUAUGGCUGUCUGAGGUGUUGGAACAGAAGGAAGUCCAUUCCUGUCGGUGACAACACUGUGGCCCUGUUCUGGAAUGACCGAGGUGUAAAGGAGCCAGUAGCUUUGGUCGAGGGAAGAAGAAGAAACUCCAUGAGCAGCAGCCUCUACAAAUGGGUCUUCCUCCUGGGUAAGGAGAAGGGAGUGGGGGGCCAGGGCCCCAGAACGGACUGGAGGAGCUUCGAAUCUGACCGAGACAGGUAGGUUGACUGCUUUUACCUGGGGUGGUCCAGGGCCAGGUCUGGGGCCCCUGCUUCAGGCAUGGGGGUAUCUCUGCCUGUGCUCAAAAAGAAAGCCCUCCUUCCCAGGGGCCCCGGGACCCUGUGCAGACCGGGGACGGCGAAAACCACUGCCCUAGAAGGUAAGUGAAGCUGCUGAGGCAUCUAGGAUGCAGCUUAAGCUUCAGCUGCCCCGUUGUCCCCCAACCUCGCCACCGGCCAGAGGCUAGGCAGUUCCCUCUGCAGGGCCUUGGGGUGAACUCGGCUGCCAGCUCAGUAUUACGCGGCUUCUCCGACAGGGGGCGGGAAAGGGCAGGCCGCGGUGCGCCCAGGGCCAGAGACCUCCAUUUCAGGUGUGAAACCUGGGCCUCGGAUCAAGUGACAGCCAUACAUUUCAAAUCUGAUUUAGGGGUACCAGAUGAACCCUCGGGUCUGGCAGUCUGCUUCCAUUUCCUCCCAGAAUGUGUCGCUUCCUCCCGCGCUCCGCGAAGGCGGAGCAUUCUGGAAGGCGUUUGCAUUUACAUCCCUGGUGAUUACUGGAGUCACUAAUACAGCCUAACCCAGAGUUUAAUUGGAAACGUUAAACAAUGCGAUGGAUCCGUGUCUGAUUUGCACAGUCGGUCAAUUAUCUGCAGGUUGGGGCAAUCUGCGCUGCACCCAGGGGGAUGCGAGGAGGGGCAAGAUGGCGUGGUCACAGCUGGGUCUGCGGGCGCGAAGCAAAAUGAGGGGAAGCGGAGCUUGAAGACUGGAAAGAGAUGAACAGUC